CUGUCUCAAGCAAUCAAGUGAUAUAACCUACAGCAGGGGAAGUAAGGAGAGGACUGCUUCCCGUUCUACAACUACUGCCCUGAUUUUAAUCAAGAUUUAAUCAAGGAGCAGAAGGAACUAAAGCUACUCCAACAGCUCCUUUUAAAAACAUACAAAGCAGGAUCCUUUUGAUACAUAGGCAUGUGCCCUUGUUCAUGCCCUUGUUGGAGACCUCUGCAAAAGCAUGCUAGGUGUUUUUAAAGUUAUGUGUUUCAUAUACAUUACCAACAAGCACAAUGGAAUCAGGAGGGUAAGUGAUCACUCAUUUCUUCUGUGGAAAAUGUAGGGCUCUCUCUACAGAUUGUUUGCAGAAAGUGUUUUGGGAAACGGUCUGGGAAACCUCCAAAAACAAUGGACUAUUGACUUGAACAAAACCGUAUCAUCCUAUGGAAGUUGAGGGGUGGUAAACUAGAGUCCAGAGAAUAUUAACUAAUGGGUUAAUUUCACAAACUCUGCAUCUUUCUUUUAUUACAGGUUAUAUAUCUGUGAAAUUUUAAAUUUGACUAUAUGAUCAUUUGUACAAAAUAAAAAUAGGACUUGGUAAUUCUGGAAGGAUAUUUUAGGUCAUCAGGGGGAAAAAAGUAUUUGAAAACAAAUAAAUCUUGGCCUGAACACCCUGGAUCUGAGUGCAUCACUGUGGAAAGAUUAUACCAGCUCUGGCAAAUGAAAUGUGCCCAAGAGCAGUUUUUGGAAAUAGGAAAAUUUAAGUGGUAUAAUAUGUGAGGGAAUCUAGUUGAACCCUGCAGCACAAAGAGAGGCUUCUAGUGCUCUGAAAAUAAUCAAAUGGCAUUGAUGUUUGGUGAGGGAGAAAAGGGAGAACUCUUGGUGGAGAAAUAAGCACAAAGACCAGGCACUUUUCCUCCCCUCUGAAGGGCACCAGGAAAGGGAUGACUGUGACUCCACGCAAUCUGAACAGGUUGCCUGUUGUUUUGUCCCUCUGCCCUGAUUCAAGAAGACAUGAAUGAAGGAGUGAAUGGAAGAACGAUACCACAAAAUCUGGGAAGAUUUGUUCAAAUGUGUAGAAGGAGUGUAUGUUCAUAAGGUUACCACUUUUGCGAUAGUUAGGAAAUCAUCCCAUAAAAAGCAAAUCUUAAUUUAGCUAUGAUGGAAUCAACCCAGAUACCCACCAACAGAUGAAUGGAUCAAAAAAUUGUGAGAUACACACACACACACACACACACUGGAGUUUUACACAAAGAAAAAUUAAAUAAUGGCAUUUGCUGGUAAAUGCAUGGAAAUGGAGAAAGUCAUGCUAAGUGAAAUAAGCCGGACUCAGAAAAUCAAGAGCUAAAUGAAUUCUCUCAUAUGUGGAAGUUAGAGUAAAAUAGAGAAAGAAGGUCGCAAGAAAGGAGAUUGGAUAUCAUAAGGAUAUAAGAUAGAUUAGUGAAGUUAAGAACAGGAGAGAAGGAGGCAGGGAGGAAGGGAAGGGGGCUAGAAAUAUGGAAUGAAGCAAAAUAGCUUGUUACAUACAUAUAUAAAUGUACAAAAGAAUUUCACCUGUACAAGUGUGUGUGUUAUAUAUAUAUAUAUAUAUAUAUAUAAUAUAUAUGUACAUGUAAUAUGUAUACAUAUAAUAUGUAUAAAUAUAUAUAUAACCAAACAAAAGUUAAUAUAUAAGGAGUGAAAGGAAGAUCAAUAAAAGAAAGAAGAAAGAACAGGGUGAAGGGAGGAGGGAAGGGAAAGGGGAGGGUGUAUAGGGAUUGAAAUCAAAAUCCUUAAAUGUAUUAUUUUCUCAAAAUGAACCCAAAUACUAAAUAUAAUUAUGAUACUCUGAAAUUAUUUUUUAAAAAUAAAAGGACAUACACUAAUAGAUUUCAGAAAUAAAAGCAGAUCUUAGAGUAAAAUGAGAGAAAAAAAUAAGAUUAACAGGAUUUUGUCAAAACAGAAGAAACAUGAAGUGACAGCUUCUCAGCCUUUGAACACCAUCCUAGCUUCCAGUGAUGUGGUGAGUUAAGUCAUGAUACUACGUUAUUCCUCCAGUGGUGUUUUUCCAUCCCAUUCUGUAUUAUUUCUUAUGGCUUCUAUAACAAAGGACCAGAAAUUGAGUGUCUCACAAUAACAGAAAUUUAUUGUCUGACAGUUCUGAAAGCUGAAGUCUGAAAUCAAGAUAUAGGAAGGGCCAUGUUCCCUCUGAAACCAGAGGAAGAGAAUCCUUCCAUGCCUCUUUUAUUUCUGGUAUUUUCCAGCAAUUCUUGUCAUUCCUUGGCCUGGACAUUCAUCUCUGCAAUCCCCAUCAUCAAGAAGCUGACUUCUCUGUGUAUCUUCAUAUCAUUUUCCCUCUGUGAAUUCCUGUGCCCAAAUUUCCUCCAAUUUAUAAAUAUACAGUUAUAUUGGAUUAGGACCCCGCUCCCAUACACACAGUUCAGUGUCAUGUCAUUUUUACCAAUUAUGUCUGCAACAAAUGUAUUUAUUUCCAAAUAAGAUCACAUUCUGAGGUCUAGAUGGUUUGGACUUCAAUGGUAUCUUUCCAGGGGACACAAUUCAACCCAUAACACCUUUUUCCAGAAAUAGAAUCAAGAAAAGUAUGAAGGAAAAUUACUGGAUAAUUAUAAAAGUCAGUUAUUGGAUAUCUUUAUAGACUUCAGGCCAUCUGACUCCUUCAGUUUGUUGGGGUAUGAGUUAAUGGAAUUGUAUUUAUGAAAACUCAGUUUAUUCUCAUGCCCAGGAGACUACAUGUGAGAUAGAGAUUGAUGAUGAUGAUGAUGGUGAUGAUGAUGAUGAUGAUGAUGGCAGCACUCGUGAUAAUGAUGAUGGCGGCUAACACUUAUUACUAUUAACUGGCUUAUUAUGAGCCAGGUGGUAUUCUAAAUGCUUUAUGAAUUCAUUUAUUUCUUACCAUCACUCCACGAGGAAAAUUCCUAUUAUUCUCAUUUUACAGAUGAGAAAAUGGAGAAGUUAACAAAGGGCUUGAGGCAGGUCAGUUAGAAGAAAUUUCACUUCACGUCUUCUUAAGUAUAGUCUCACCUUCUACCCUCAAGACCUCGACAUGAUCCCAUUGAAACCUUGAUCUUCCCAAUUUACAGAAUGAUUUUCACCCACCCAAUCCUCCCAAAAUGAAAGAGCUACCUAUAUAGCCUCCUAUCUUUACAUCAGUGCCAGUUUCCCCUCCCACGUGAAAAGGAACACACAUGUACCUGCCCAGGUCAGUUCUUUGUAAGGCAAUACCGAGGCCAUCUUGACUUACAUAGGCUGAUCCUCCAAAGGCAUGUUAUAUCCACAUCUCAUUGUUAUACCCAUGGAAUGGACUCACUUUAUACUAAGUUCUUGUAAAUUUUAGAUAUGAUAGUAUGAAUUUGUUCCCCAAAAGAAUAUAAACCAAUUCUGAGUCAUUAGUCUGGGAAUAAUAUACUUUUAAAAUAUAUUAUUACUUUUUUUUGUAGAUUGUUAUUUACCUAGAACUAGAAAAGCCAGAGUGAUUUACAGCAAUUAAGAUAUCAAUUGAGACAGAUCUUAUUCUCUUGAGAUUUCUUGGAUGGAUGAAUUAGAGGAGCAUACUGGUUUGACUUGAUUGUCCAUCCCUGUGUUUAAUUAGUUCCACCAGGCAACAACAAAACAAAUUCUUCAUUGUACGCUCAUCAGAUGUUCAGUGUCCUAGGAUGACUUUAUGUUAAAGCAGCCAUCCUCAAAAAUACAAAAUUACAUAAAGGCCCCUGUCUCAUCCUUGGACUCUGAGCACUAGGCACAGAAAAUGAUUGUGUAAUACAAACAUUUGUCCAUAAAGAUUUAAAAGCUGACCACAUUGUGAGCAUUCAAUAGUUAUGAAACAAUAAACAAGUUUAUCAAUUAAGCAGAAAGAAACCAAAUAACAAUAUCCAGAAUGAUCAUACAGGGAGGAAUGCCAGCAUGAGGCCCAGCCACCUCUUUCUCUUUCACCCUUACUCUUUUAGGGGAAGGAUUUUGAUUGGCUAGUGGUGAUCUCAGCUAUGACACUUGAUUCUUCCCUUUCCCUGACAUCUUGCGACUUGUGAUACAACAGUAGAUUAAGAUCCAUACCUGGCCCCCUACAAAUAAUAUGCUGUAAAGUCAUGCAUAGAAGUGUAUUUUCAAGUAACAACAAUAGUGCUCUCUGAAUUUAGCAAGAAAAGAAAAGCCAUGACUACAAUUUCAGAUAACCUUGGAAAUCUAAAAAAAAAAAAAAUUAGAAAUUGAAAGCAAUUCAUCAAAAAUCAUCUCUCUCAGACCAGGCCUGAGACAGAUUAUUUACAAAAUUGUUCUUGUCUCCUUAAGAUGAGUCCCUGCCUCCCCUCACUGCUUCUGAACGGAAAACUGGUCACAUAGCCCCAACAGAGAAAUCAGUCUCUGCUCUGAGAGGAAAAAGCUUACUCAGCAAGAGGAUCAAAGGGCCACCUGGGGCCAGGGUCCCCGUGUGAGAGGGUAUCUCGAGAUUGUUGGAAGGGCAGACAAAGAGCAGGAGUGGAUGGGGAGAGGUUUGGAUAAGGGAGUCCUCUGAAUAUGCCAUCAAUCUUAGGGCACCACUAAGCUGGCUCCCUGGAGCUUAGGUAUGACAAGGCCUACAGGUAAAUGGAAAUUAUAAAACUGCUUUUUCACAGUAGUGAGGAGGCCAUCAGAAGGUUCAGGGAGGUUAGAAUAGAUGUAUUAAGUACAACCAGAUUUUAUUUGCCAGGAAGAUCCAGAGGACAUGCCCUUCACUUUGUCAAGAAGGAGAAACAUUAGUGAUUGGACUGACUUAUCCUUAGGCACAACAGGCAUAGCACUUAAUUACUUUUUAAACGAGGAAGCAAAAAAUGAACCGGUAGAAUCAAAAAUUAUAUUCAUAUUUAUAUUAACAUAAUUGUGAAAUACAGUUUUUAAUUUUUUUUAAUGUAGAAAGGAGUCCAUGAAGGCAAAAGUGACUUAACCCCUCACCAGUCCCACAAUGGCCCUGUUAGUGAGAGGGCACUGGCAUCUGUAGGAGCUUAGUGCUGACCAUACGCUAUGGGGCUGUGGCAAUGGUGAAGGAUGCUCCCAUGAGGAUGGCGGAGCUGUGAAGUAGCAGAGGUCAGGAGGCAGCACAGAGUAGCCAUGGUAGAUGUAAUCAUGGUAACAGGUGACACAGCCAGAGUGAAACCAGGAUUCCCAGCCCUUGUACUGCUAUCACAAGUUGCAAGGCAAGAACUAAUAGCCAAGAAGUUUCUAGAGGCAAAACAGAUAGAUAAUUUGGCUAAGGGAAUGCUUGACUUGGAUGACCAGAAAAAAAAAAUUAGAUCACGCAAAGAAAACCCUUAGUCGGCUGUUAUAAUGCAAAAUCACAGCUCCUUACCCAGAUACCAAUCAGAAAUUCUUUCUAAAACCCAGAGUCCAUCAGCUGAAGAUUAGGGAAAGUUCCCUUUAGGAAAGAUCCUAAAGAAACAUGAUAAGCAUAUACAAUAAAUAUUACUCAGGUCCUUCCCACAAGGGAAUGCAUCUGCCCCCAUUUAUCAGAUAAAUGGACGCUAAGAAAAGUGAAAUACCCAAACAUUGCCCUAUGAGGAAUGACGCAUAGAGAGCUUACAGGGUCUGAGCUGGCAAUGAAGCCUGGGGGACAUUAAAGUGGUGAUUCUUGGAGGUGAAGUGGUACUAUGGUUUGGAUAAGUGCCCCCCAGAUCCAUGUGCUAAAGGCUUGAUCCCCAGAGUGGCUCCUGGGAGGUAUUGAAACCCUUAGGAGGAAUCUAUUGUGUAGCCCUUAGGUCAAUAUAGUCAUGUCCUUGAAGGGAACUGUGGGACCCUGGUCUCUUCCUGUUUCUUCUUUCUGGUCAUGAGGUAAGCAGUUUUGUUCCACCAUGCACUCCAGCCAUGAGGUGCCACUCUUGACGUUAGUCCAAAGCAAUAGGAUCACUUGAUCAUGGACUGGAACCUCCAAAACCAUAAGCCAAAAUAAACCUCUUUUUCUUUAUAAGUUGGUUAUUUCAGGUAUUUCAUUAUAGUGACACAAAGCUGCAAACAACAGGUAGUAAAUGGAAUUCUGACCUAAGUCAGUUUUACAGUAGGUACCAUGGAUCAGUAGACCUAUCUUAGGGUGACUUUCCUCUAUUGUGAGUGUAUAAUUAGUAUAGCUAUUACUUAGCAACUGGCAGAAUCUCAUAUUGGUUCUAUUAACAAAAGUCAUCGUAGUAGAAAAGGACAAAAUGAAGUCCCAGAAAUUACCUUCCAAAUCAAAAUCAUAAAUUUAAAUCCACCCCACAUCUCAGGUGGAAGUACAGAAGUGAGUGCCAGUCUGAAUAUCUUGAGAUAUUUCACUCAGGAGGAAGUAGAUUUGUCCUUAGAAGAAAUAAAACCACUCAGUAUGUGUUUGUCUUCCCUACCCACUCUCUGAGGACUUUGAGAAUGCCUGAUUUUACCUCUACCCUAGAUGGAAGGACAGUUUGCAGAAAGGAACGUGUGUCACUGGGGGAUGCAUGACCAUGAGAUCCCUGUGUCCGACCACAGACCACCUUACCCACAAGCAGCAGAUCCGAAAGAAUGACAGGAUGGCACUAAGGAUGCAUGAAGACACCAAAUCAGAGACAAACACCUGCAGGUUGGAGAGCUCCCUCAGAUGUACUGAACAGCUGCUGUAUGGUGCUCACCCACAAUUGCUAAAAUACAGGCAUCCCCAGAUGAAGAGACGAAAGUAAAAUGGGUUUGGAUAAAAGGGGUCCUUCUCCCCAUCACUCUCAGCAACUCACUUAGUGGUUGUGCUUUCCAUUCCUACAACUCAGGUUCUGCUGGGUGAGAGCCCCUGGCUCCCAAGAGGCUGCCCUCCCAAAAAGUAAUGAGUGGUAAGGGUCCACUGAGCCUGGAGCCAUGAAUGUCAUUGGUCACUCUUAACUCUUUAUUACCUGGAGACCAGCACCAAUCCCUCAGAUAAGACUUCCUAUGCUGGUUGGAGAAACCUUUUCUAUCAUGAGCAGUCAGGGUGCUGCUACCUACUGAGUCAGAGAGCACUGUGCCUUGAUAAUGAUGAUUGACUGAAGUAUCUCUUCCUGCUUCCAUUCCUGAUGAUAAUGGAAAAUGAGAAUUUGUCUUGCUCAUGGGCUAAUGAGGGCCAGGUGACCAGAGAGUCAGACCCACAGGUAUGAAAGUCUGGGUUAUUCCAUCAAGCAGCAAAAAUGCUGGCCAAGGGUAGGGGAAAUCUAAUCCAGUGGUUGAGGAGGAACAAGAUGACAAAUAUUAUCUUGAAACUAGCUAACAGCUGCAGGUACUGCAGCUUCUUCUGGUAAUUUAUUUAUUUUUUAAAGCUAUUUUUAUUGUGACUGGCCAUAGGACAUGGUGGCAGAAGGGCUUAAUGUGGGGCUUAAGCAGAUCUGAGAGGGGCAAACAGCAAUCAGCAUGUCUGAAUUUACUUUCAAAUAGUGCCUGGAGAAUAAGUAAUCCACAAAGGAUACUUUGGGAAAAGUUGGGGUUUGUUUAUAUUUCAGAUGAUUUUGUUUUAUUGAUUUAAUUUUUUUGGGGGGGUUGAACUCAGGAGUACUUUAUCACUGAACUAUAUCCCCAACCCUUUUUAUUUUUUAUUUUGCCUUCUGCUGAAGAGUCUCACUAAGUUGCUGAGGCUAGCCUUGAGCUUCAGAUCCUCCUGCCCCAGUCUCCCGAGUUGCUGGUAUUACAAGUGUGUGCCACAGCGCUGGCAUGGUUUUUGUUUGCUUUUUGUUUGUUUGUUUGUUUGUUUUAAUUUUAAAAGGAGUAUUCUGAAUGAUCCAGCUAUCUAUUAUACUUUAUAGUCAGACACAUUUUUUAUCUGAAUUUUAAAAAGAAAAAGGAGGAAGAGGAGAGGAAGAAAGGAAAGAAAAAGGGAGAGAGAAAAGUAGAAUUUUGAAGAUAGCAGAAAUUCAUUGCCAGAAUUAUUGCUCCAUUGUGGGUACUCAGUAAACCUGAAUAAGUACUUCAGUGUAUCUAGAAGCCACACUGCUUGGAGACUAUUGGUGUCCACAUUUUCAAAACAGACUCUCUCCGGCCUAAUAGAAUAUUAUCACUUAGAACCUAGUGUUUUCUUAGAAUGUGUUGUUAUAUUUUUACUCAUUACAGGGAUUACUCUAAAGUGACGGGGUCAGUUAGAUGAAAAGUCAGUCUUACCCCAGUGAUUGCUAACAUUUGAAGAGAUCAGCAUGACCUUAAAGGAUUGCAGUGAUGUCUGUCUUUCAUUUAAGACUUCUAUGUCUCAGAAUAAUUUAGCUUGUAAAUACAAGCUUGCUUGAUAAGAGUAGGCUGCAAAGAUUUGUGUAUUUGUUAAAGUGCAGAGCCAAAGACUCACGUCUGAAAAGAGUGAAGAAAGGGCUGGGCACCGUGGCACAUGCCUAUAAUCCCAGAGGCUCUGGAGACUGAGGCAGGUGGAACACAAGUUCAAAGCCAGCCUCAGCAACUUAGCAAGGCCCUAAGCAGCUCAACAAGACCCUGUCUCUAAAUAAAAUAUUAAAAAGGGCUGGAGAUGUGGCACAGUAGUUAAGUGCCUCUGGGUUUGAUCCCCAGUACCAAAAAAAAAAAAAAAGUGAAAAAGGGAAAGAAUAAAGAAUAGCUCUCUUCCUCUCUCUCCCCCACCACCCCCUCUCUUCAUAAUUUUAAAUAACUCCAUAGUAACUUAUAUGCAUGACUGCCACUAGUCUUUAUAUUUCUCUGACUCAGAGUUUAGUGGUGUUGGUAAUAGUGAGUUGUUUUCAGAACAUUACUUCUUCAUUUGCCUUUUCUGGCAUCAAACUGCAUGACAUGUAUACAUAAAUAUAUUAAUCUCUCUGUGUCAUUUUUUAGUUUUGCCUUCUUCCUGGAUAUUAACUCCCUAAUUUUUUCCAACUCCUUGCUCAUAAUAAAUUCCAGAGCAAUGCAAUAUAUUGUGUCUUCCACAUAACUUAGAAUUCAUGGUUUCACAUCUGUCAUUUGAAGAUAAUCAGAAUUCUUUCACUACAAAAUAACUACGCGAUGUGUCCUGAAAAGAGUAAAUGAUUGAUUUCUUUUCAAAAUGCAAAGAGAAAAGCAUUGAGAACACUGCAUCUAAGACAGUGCCCAAAAAGUAACAGUAAUUAAAUGCCCACAUACAAAUAUUUGGCUCAUUCAACCAAAUUUAGCUCUAAACUCAAUAAUGUUCUUUUUUUAAAAAAAAAAAUGUAGUUGUAAAUAAACAGAAUGCCUUUAUUUCAUUUGUUUAUUUUUAUGUGGUGCUAAGGAUCAAACCCAGGGCCUCACACAUGCUAGGCAAGUGCUCUGCCACUGAACCCCAGCCCCAGCCCUCAGUAAUGUUCUUAGGACCACUGUAAUGCUGAACUUGGUCCAGUCUCAUUUUACCAUGGCAAGAGUGAUGAUGAUGAUGAUGAUGAUGACAAUAAUGACAAUGACAAUGACAACGAUGACAGCCAGAGUUUAUUGAAUGCCUACUAGGCAUUGAGGGCUAUGCAUUCAUGCCUACACUCAGCCACUCCUCUCCACUUCCCCACUUAGUGUAAGCCAUCAUUGUCUACAGUUUGGACUACUAGGAUUGCCUACUAAUUUAAUUACACUCUGUGCUUUCAUGCUUAGCUGCUUACAAUUCAUUCUUCAUACAACAGCUGCAGUAACUUUUUUUUUUUUUCUUUUUGGUGUUGGAGAUUGAACACAGAGUCUAGGCAAGUGCUCUGCCAACUGAGCUAUAUCUCCCAGCCCUCAGCUGUAAUGAUCUUCUACAAUGAAUUUUAGAUAACAUCACUAUAUACUUCCUUAACCUGAUACCCACCAUAUUUAAAACCCAUUCCAAACGCAUUACAAGGACUUUCAAAGCCUGGCCACCUCUGGGAUCCCAACAGCCACGCUGCCAUUCCUUAGACACACCAAGCCAUCCCUGUCUCUGGGCCUUGGCUCUGCUAUUUCUCCUUUCCUACCUUCAGACUCUAAAUUUCACCCCUUGAAGAGGCAUUCUGUGAUGACCCAGUCUAACCUAGCCCCCAAUCACCUUCUAUUGCCUCCUUUCUCUUUGAGUUCUCUGCAUACCACUCACCACCUCCGAUGUGCUCUUGUUUUUCUAUUUCUUCAUUGUUUGAUUCCUUCCCCUGGAAUAUUUGCUCCAUGAGAACAGAAACCCCAUUUAUCCUAUUCACCACCAGAGUGGCAUCUAAUAGUACACAGUAGGCCUUCCAUAAGGGUUGUGCUGGAUGAGCAAAGAAUGUGUGACGAGCUUUCUGAGCUCAGAACAUCAUCCUAAGAGGGGAAAACCAUUACAGUUAGGUGUGAGGAAACUCCAGGUAGGUAGGUAAAGCAUGAAGCUUCUAGGUUUAAAACCAGAAUCCUAACUCUCAAUUUGGGGUAGGGAGGUUGAUAGAAGAGGCUAGGAGGGGUAGGACAGGGACACAAGCCACAGGAAAAAUAAAAAAUACAUUUUAUAAACAAUUUCAGAAGAUCUUAAACUCAAAGUGCAGUUCCAAUGUGGACAGAAGUUUUGUUCUGUCUCAUCUUUUUCUCAGAAGGAGAUUUCUGGCUUACUCUUCUGGGCAGGACAGACAGAUCUCCUCCCCUCCGUGGAGGAGUUAUUGAGCAGUGACAACACCCUGAAGACUAAGCCCUCCCUGAUCUCAAAGCAGCAGCAGCUGGCUCUCAGUUCUAAUCAUUGGAUCUCAGGUCUGAAGUGCCAACCAGGCCCUAACCAAGGAGCCCUUCAUCCUUUCCUUCACAAAAUGUGUCGGCACCUACCAUAUGAUGAUGGGCUUACUGGCUCAGAGGACAUGAGAAGGCAGGGGUGGCCCUCGCUGCAUGGAUUUCACGAGCCAUGGGGAGGGCAGACACGCAGGUAAUUUCACUCACAGGCUGAUGGACAACCGCUCCUUUCACUCACAGGCUGAUGGACAACCGCUCCUAUUCUUUUCGCAGUUGGUGGUGAGUGAGCACCAUUUAAUCAGUAGUAGAGUAAGAGAGAUCCCAGCCAUCAGCCUUGGUCUGACCAAAGGAUUUCUACAUAAGACUUUAAAACACAUUUUCAAAUACAACUUUUAGGUUUUGUUAUAUGGCAUGCAUGAUUUACUCAGAUUAUACCAACCAUCUGGAACCUAUACUGCUGCCUGACUUUUAAAGGAAUGGAUUAAGGCUGGAUGAAACCUCCUGGAACACUGAGAUGUUACCUAUUUUUGAGCUGCAGGAGUCACAUUGUUCUUGAAACUGAGAAGUUCCUGGAGAUUUACAGAGAGACUUCUUCUAGCUAAAAACACUGUAAUGUUAAGUGUUCAUAGUAUAAAUUCAUAAGUAGCUACACCGUUUGACCAUAUUUCCCCCUGUUUGGUAUCCUCUGAUGCUAAAAGAUAAAAAAUGGUUUGAGGAAGACUGAGCCUUGACCAUCUAAUACAUGAAUUCAGGGUGUUUAUGUUCAAGGGCUUAAUGCUUACGUAUUAAGAGCCUAGUAUAUUCUUGUGUUGACAUUGGCCCAACUGCCAUUUUAAAAUGCUGCUCUAGCAGAAUUUGCCGUACAUUCGAAAUGCCACACUUUCCAACCAGUUCUAAUUCUUGAGUAAUCCAAUAGUGAGGUGGUAAGGAAGUUACUUCAUUUAUUUCUCUGUUUAUAAUAGUAAUUGCUAUGAUUAGUUCAGAACAUUUCUUAUGGCCGUAAAUUACUACAUACUUAACUCAUUUAAUUCUCCUAAUACCUCCAUGCAUAGGAACCAUUUUCCCUGUGAUGCAGGUAAGGAAAUCAAGGCUCAAAGACACUAAGUAACUUACACACGUUUACACAGCUGGACAGUAGCAGAAUCUGACAUCUUCUGGUAAUGUGUCCUAGUCACAGGCUUACAUUGACAUUUGCAGACCUUCUAAAGAAACAUUUCUGAACAUUGAGUAUUGUAAGGUUCUUCCUCUACUAGAAUUAAUGUAUAUCAGAAAAGAGAUUCAUGUAUAAGGGAAAUUAUUUCACUUACAUGAGGAAUUUUUAAAGAGUUAAACUCAUAGAGAGAGGGAGUAGAAUAGUAGGGAACUCGGGGAUAGGAGGAUAGUGGUCAAAGAGCAUAAAAUUUCGGUCAGACAGGAAGGAUGACUGAAAGAGAUCUAUGAUACGACAUAGUGACUACAGUUAAUAACAACAUAUUGUAUACUUGAAAUUACUGAGAGUCAGUUUUAAAUGUUCUCACUGCAAAAAAAUAAGUAUAUGAGAUAAUGACUAUGUUAAUUACCUUGAUUUAGCUACACCAUAGUGUAUAUAUAUUUCACUAUAUGUUGUACACCAUAAAUACAUACAAUUUCUAUUUGUCAACUUAAAACAGUAAUUUUUAAAAAUUAAAUAUGUAAAUAAAGAUAAUAAUCAGAAGAAGAAAAAUGCUGC
rnacentral:lncRNA from 1 species